CAAGAAAUAUAAUAAGUGUUGGAUUUCGUGAGGAACUGACUGAACUAUUUUUUUACUGUCGGCAGCCUGUGUGUGUGCGUGUGCGGCAGCGGUGUGUGUGGUGACUGUGUGAGAGAGUAGAACGAGGGCCUGUUCGUCGCGGAGGCGGGAGGGGUGACGUAGGGCGGCGGCCGUGUCCCUGGGAGGGAACGACGCGCGACGAAGCCGUCCCUGACGGGGAGACGGAGGGGUGAGGGGUACCGACGACUCUGCCGGCGGGAAGAGAACGGAGAGGUGGAGGCAGGCGCCUCCGCGUCUGAAGGAGAGGUGGUCUAGGAGCCAGCACCUGAGCUGUACUCUCGACCUCCCGAGGGGAUGCGGAUGGAGGAGGAGGGCACCCUGUUCUGCGUCUUAGCCUCGUUCGCGGCUCCUCGCGGCCGAUCCUGCGGCACGAGGCUACCCAACCCGCACAACGCUCGGAGUGGCACCGGUUCAUGGUGUACGAGGUCUCACCUACCAGCUACGGGAGGGGUGGACCGGUGGAGUGCGCACUGACCAUAAAGCAGUAGGACGGAGACGAGCUAAGCCGAGGCAGGCUACCGCCACGAACGCGGAACUGCGGCGCGGAGCGUGCUACCGGCGGUCUUCGGAUACGGAACCGGCGAAAUCGAUAACAAAUCGAGACUGUCUUAGUUCAGUUAGUUGAUGCCCUGUAUAAAAACACAUGUGAAGAACACGUAUACACUUCCCUUCGUUCGAACCUAAGUGACCUACUACAUAUGUGUGGUUCACGUGGAGCGAAAGUAUUAUCGUUCGUUGGAGUAUAACUCCAUGCAAGAGAAGCGAACGUCGGAAAAAUUCUCAAACCAAAAAGGUGAAUCAGAGAAGACUACCACUACAGAGUCUUUUAGCGAAAGAGGCCACCAACUAUUAAAAUCGAGAUAUACGAACACAACGUUUGUCGUGUUCGUUGACCCGUUGGUAAACAAAGUAUUUGAGUUUGGUAACUUGAAUUUUUGUAGUGGAAGGCGUCGACCACACAUAGCAUCAACUCACUGUCGUCUAACGGGUCAUCCGAAGAGGCGUCACACUUUUAGACAGUCUUUCUUAACUAGUAUCUAUACUAAUAUGAACACUGACGAUGUAGUAUUUCUUGUCUUUUUUACCUGUAUGGUCCACUAUACCGGUACCCACAGAAUCUACCUCACGCGAAAGUUAAAUCUUUCCUCUACAUCGAAACAAUAAUAGGAAACGGAGCACAGAAGAAAAAUUAUAGAGCACAGAAGAAAUUAAGAAAACCUAGACGAAAAACUGGACAGAGGUUCUUUUAGAAGUCCUAGAUAUUCCAGGUUCAUCCAUUCUCAACCACUAUAUAAAUAAAUGGGGACCCAUUUAUCGUUUAGUUCAUUUAUUCUUUCAGAACAUGUAGAGUAAAACCUUUAAACUCUUUACUAGUUCUCCACUUCAGGUGAAACUAAAAAUGGAACACGUCUGAAUCCAAACAACAUCCAGGAACAUCAGUACCAAAAGAAAUUUUGUUUAGUAUGUAGUAGCUUGGUACGACUUGAGUGCACAUGUCUCAUACGACAGUAGUAGAAUGUAUCGUAGAAGAUAUUUAGUAUGUGUUUUAAAGCCUUAGACUUGAUGUGUUGAAACUUUGUUUGACUUUUCAAUAGUCGUAGACGUGAUUUGUAACCAUUCAAUCGAAAUCCUCUUUGUAUGAGUUUCUUAUAGACUCAGCCGGCAAUAAGUAGAACUGUCAUUCCGUGCUAUCAGUAAUUUAAGCAUAAUGCUAAGAAGCACGGUUGUGAUGUUGGAUGUUGUCAUUUAGUAUAUAUAUUGAUACAGGCUUUGAACUGUAGUAUGUUACACCUUCUUCCUUAAUUUAACGGUUUUUAUAUAUGUAUGGAAUGAGAAAUUGACGCAAAUGAGCUAACGACUCAGACUACUUAACGAUGUAUUUAUCGGGUUUACUAACGGACCGGUAUACAUUACAACCAUUUGUAUGUUACAUUCAUGGUCUUAAGCUAGUCUUAUUUUGAAUCCGUUUGGUUGUAAAUCAAUAAAUUUGUUUUCAAGUGGAAUAACUCAUGUCUUCACCGUGAACCUAAUUCGUAAACUUUUUGUAAUUACGUACCAUGGGUUAUGGUUAACCGUCCGGUUGUAUAUUCUUGUUUAAAACGAAUUAACAUAAAGGCUAUAUAUCUCUUCGUACAUGACUAAAAAUAAACGUGUUUUACUAAUCAGCAUCUAACAGUAUCUCUAAAACAUCAGUAAAGUAAGUUUACCGAAUUUUGAUUGUAUUUUUACACCGUUAGGUAACCGUGUUUAUCUGAAGUAUGUCAUGAGAGUUCAGAUGUUAUGUUAUGGUUAACCGUUCGGUUGUAAGUCUCUUCGUAGAUGACUUGAAUCCAACAUCUUUAAGUCUCUUCGUACAAGACCUAAAUCGUUCAUCUUUAAGUCUCUUCGUACUCACCUCCUCGGCUAAGAUGGCAAAGCACAUACGACAGAUGGAAAAGGAUAAUAGUCAACCCUACAGUGAAAAAGACAGAAGGUACGAGUCCCAGAAAACUAUAUCUUGAACAACUGAUAGACUGAAGGUACGAUAAACUGGCAUUUAAAUUGGUUGUUCUGGUUGACGCCGCCUUCUUUUUUAAUAUAUUAACUUUUGAAGAAAGCUUAUGCUUAAGUGACUAUAUUAAAAACGAGGGCGGCGUUAGCCAGAACCAUCAAUUUAAAUGCCAGUUUCAACUUCGUGCAUCUAUCUCCUUCGUGAUGUAACACCUUACCUCCCUCAUGUUUUCUAUCCGUAGAGGAUUUAAUACAAACGAUUAAGAAAGUAAAUCGGUUCAACCUACAGUUAGGAGGGUUAAUACACGAAUACAAGUCACUGUACGUAAGAUAAAGUACGUUUCGUGUAUUUGAGAUAUAAUAUCCGGUAACGUAAAACAAAUGAGCCAUAUAAUUCUUUAUCCUCAUGUUAACAUCAGUACAAAAAAAUACAAUGAGAAACAUAAAUACUUAAAACUGGGUUUAGACGGUGCUCCACUUGAAACUGACUACAGGUAGUAAAACCAGUUAUAAUAAAACAACAGAGUUCGCGUCUAAGAAGAUUAAUGCCAUGAGGAUUAUUAACUUAUACACCCCUCUCAGUCACAAGGUACUUUGGUCUAACGAAAGGAACGAUGUCUCAUACUCGGUGGAUCCAAACAAAGGGCAGUCGAUUGAAGGAUGUGGUUCGGCCGCCGAACUACAACUCCAUUUCAGAAUUUCUUUUAAGACUAGCUUCAAACAUGGACUAGUUUCAAACGACCGAACCACCGCUCCCGCAGUUGUACCGCUGCCGCCAUCGGGCGCGAGCGUAGGCAACCAGUCGUCUCCUCUCGUCGUCCGCCGGUGCCGCGGGGCGCGAGUACAGGCACCCGGUCGUCUCCACUUCGGCUGCCACCGCGGCCUCUGAGAGCGAGCGUAGGUACCCCGUCACAUCCUCUCCGUUCACCGCUGCCGCCAGACACGAGCGCAGUAACCCCGUCAUCUCCUCGCCUGCCGCCGCUGACUCAGGGCACAAACGCAGAAACCCCAUCGUCUUCUCCUCGCCUGUUCCCUGUUGCCGUCGCAGCUAGGCGCGAGUGCAGGUAUCCCGUCGUCUGUUGUCUCCUCCUCGCCGCCCGCCACCGCCGCUAGACGCGUGCGCAGACACCCCAUCGUCUCUCUGCUGCACAACACUCCCGUCUCUCUUUUAAUGCCCUAUCUUUGGGGGAUAGGGGCAAUUAACUCCUGGUUGGCCACGCAGCCCGUCAGACGAACCGUCUUGUAAAUUAGACCCUGCAAGUACACGCAUCGUCUGGGAACUACAUUAUACCUGACAAUCUACGAUAAAUCAACCUAACUAGAUUGCGGAGACUAUUAGGACACAUGUGAAACACCACACAGAGAUCCUCUUAAGUACAAACGAGAAAAUUAUCAUCAUAUCUAUUGAUUAUCUAAAAACGUUAUUCAUACACUCAAGAAAUACUGAUUACAACUCAGGUACCUAACAUGCGUGAGAGUGGGAAGGUGGUAACGAUCUGAGAGAUCAUGGUACGUUGAAAGCGGCCAUGGUAUUUGGGUGGUAUAUAGAAGGAGUUUUGUCGGCGGUAUGGAUGGAUAAUACCGUAAAGGUAUCGGUAAGGCUCUAUAUAACGGUACGUUGAAAGGUGGCAAGGCAAAUAAUACUGUACGAAGUAGUAACAGUAUAACGAAACGUACUAGUACAUCAACUGUAGCAUAAACACCGUUUCGGUGGUAAGUAUUAAGAAAGUAUGUACAGUGAGUACUCAGUAACGUGUAGGGCCAUGUGGCGGCCUCCGUAAGUAUAUCUCAGUAUAAAACAAGAUUCAUAGCUCAACAUUAAAGACUCAACAUUCAUUUAUUUUCACACUACUAGGAGUAAUAAUCUCGUAACAGGGUACACUCCUUUCCUACUACCUCUGAUACUAAGGGGGUGUGCAGCCCUAAGCUGAGACCUUUUUUUUAUUUUAUUUUCUCUUUUUUCUCCGGUAUUUUUUUCUUCCGGGUUUUUUGUUUUUUUUUGUUUUUUUACUCUCUUUUUCUCUCUUCCCCGUUACGAUGAUAGGAAAACGGUGUGAACACGAAGUUUCAUCGUGGUACUAGAAGUACUAUCUCUCAGAGGAUACAACAGUGAAAGUAUUUGAUCACCCUUAGAAAGUAAUAUCUUGAACCGAACAUAUAAAGUUACUAACCGAAGGAGUUUUACGGGAUCCAGAAGAACUCGUUCGCUCAACCUACGUGUGGGUGAAUCAAAGAAAAACUCGAAAGUAUGUGAAUAUCGAAAUCACGUAGGCAACGUACCGUUAAGGAUGAGUGAGUGUAACUAUAGAUAACUACCCGUAGAGGUAUCGGACAACUAUGCGGAUCAAAUAAACUCUGAUAGAAGAAGAAAAACAGAAGAGGUGUUGGUAGUAAGAUAAGGUGGAUAUCACGAUACAGGUACCGAGUGCGAGUACAUAACGCACUUCUAACUUUUUCAAACUCUUGUAGUUUUCAUACUUUGUUAACGAACCGAACAGUAGCCCCAACACGUACUAAAUUUAUAAAACACACUACUUCUAUCUCGUAUCGGUCUGAUAUACUUAAACAUCCCUAUUGAAAGAAACCGGUACAAUAAAACUCUUCUGUGCUAACGAAACAAUCAUACGAACUUCAUAAUAAUAAAAAUACGGUUAUAAUUUGAAAACAGAACUUAGAAUACCUAGACUUAUAAGAACGGUGUUAUUUCUUCUAAUAUAACUAUCUAUACAAUCCAUCUUAAGGUGUAGUUUUUAAGAUAAAAAUAGUAAAUGGAUGAGCUCCUGCUCGUCCUUAAUUCGAACCCCUACGAACUAUGCAGAGGUUGUAUAGAUAUUAAAAACUAACAAGGUACGAUAAUAUAAUAGUUGGAACCUACAAAAUAUACGUAAAUAUACGAUAAAAUAUACUAAAAAACCUGAUUGGAUAAUUGGAUCUCGGGUCACGGUCAAGGACAAAAAAAGGAACAAAAUCUUAUAGCAUCUUUUCCUAGUUCGCCUCAGGUUAACUGGACUUUGAAGUGUCUUGAAUAAAAACCUUGCCUUCGUUAGGUCCUCUGAACCUCAUAUGCAGUUCCUUCGAAGCUCCUUCGGUGCUCCAUCCCUCCGCGCGGGAUGGGGGAACCCGCGCGAGGGGUGGUAGCACCCGAGGAACACCGAAGGGACUGGUUGAAGAAAGCGGAUAUAUACAGGUAUAUGGGAUUUUUCUGGCUCCUCCUCUUAUCUAGCCCUCAAGGCGGCGAUCUUCGGAGACAUCGGUGGUUUUUGGUUAGAUCUGGGCAAGACCGUGGGACGGCCUCCCCCCUUAGGGAGAGGCCACCGGUAGAAGUAGUAGGGCCACGAGAGGUACUGCUCCUCCCUCAUCAAGAGGGAGCCCCGACUCCCAUACAUGGUCAUCGAUACACAAACUAGAGAGACAGUACAAGAACUCCACCG
rnacentral:rRNA from 1 species